rnacentral:lncRNA from 1 species
UAUCCUCGAUGCCAUAGAAGGCUGUCCCUAUGUCCUCAAUGCCAUAGAAGGCUGUUCCCUAUGUCCUCAAUGCCAUAGAAGGCUGUUCCCUAUGUCCUCAAUGCCAUAGAAGGAUGUUCCUACGUCCUCGAUGCCAUAGAAGGCUGUUCCCUAUGUCCUUGCAUUGCCAUAGAAGGCUGUUCCCUACGUCCUCGAUGCCAUAGAAGGCUGUUCCCUAUGUCCUCGCAUUGCCAUAGAAGGCUGUUCCCUAUGUCCUCAUUACCAUAGAAGGCUGUUCCCUAUGUCCUCGAUGCCAUAGAAGGCUGUUCCCUACGUCCUCGAUGCCAUAGAAGGCUGUCCCCUAUGUCCUCGAUGCCAUAGAAGGCUGUUCCCUAUGUCCUCAAUGCCAUAGAAGGAUGUUCCUACGUCCUCGAUGCCAUAGAAGGCUGUUCCCUAUGUCCUUGCAUUGCCAUAGAAGGCUGUUCCCUACGUCCUAGAUGCCAUAGAAGGCUGUUCCCUAUGUCCUCGCAUUGCCAUAGAAGGCUGUUCCCUAUGUCCUUAAUGCCAUAGAAGGAUGUUCCCAAUGUCCUCAAUGCCAUAGAAGGAUGUUCCCUAUGUCCUCGAUGCCAUAGAAGGAUGUUCCUAUGUCCCCAAUGCCAUAGAAGGCUGUACCCUAUGUCCU